CGACUUUUUUUGACCUCACCACCCCCACAGCAGCCCUGCCGCUUCGGAGAUAACCCUUCCCUCACUCGCUUUCCGACACGAGGUCGCCCACUGCCGGUAAGGCCCGGCCCGCUUCAUAGAACGCCGGAGAAUCGCUCGUACGGACGCGCUAAUAGGCAUCGCUCCGUCUCCCACGCCGCCAUGUCUCUCCGCCAUCCUUCAUUCCUUCUCUUCGGCCAUGGUAGUCAUAUUUUCUUUGUAGGUGGCUGAUCAUCUUCUAAGUGAUAAUGAAGAGGUCAUUCCUCAGAGUGAUUGAGCUUCUUUUGUUUCAUAUGAUAUCUUUACCAUUAAUAUAAUUAGAGUCAAACCUUGGUUAAUAAUAAUUCAAGGUGUUCCAUCACAUCAAGAAAUCAAUUUCAAAAACAUAAUGCUCAAAAAGAAGUUUGUGCUGUUGUUGGUUCUCCCACAGAGGAGAAGAAAAUGAAGCAGAAAAGACAUUCUUAAGAAGAGGAAGAGAAGCUUGCAUUUGUUGAAUUUUCUUAUCCAUUAGUUUACCUCA